rnacentral:rRNA from 1 species
UACGGAGGGUGCAAGCGUUGCUCGGAUUUAUUGGGCGUAAAGGGUAGGUAGGUGGUCUUAUUUGUCUAGGGUGAAAUCCUUGAGCUUAACUCAAGAAGUGCCCUAGAAACGGUAAGACUAGAGUCCUGGAGAGGGUCGUGGAAUUCCCGGUGUAGCGGUGAAAUGCGUAGAGAUCGGGAGGAACACCAGAGGCGAGGCGGCGACCUGGACAGGUGCUGACACUAAACUACGAAAGCGUGGGGAGCAAACAGG